GAGUUUGAUCAUGGCUCAGGAUGAAUGCUGGCGGCGUGCCUAACACAUGCAAGUCGAGCGGCAGCGAGGGGUGCUUGCACCCUGUCGGCGAGCGGCGGACGGCUGAGUAACGCGUGGGAAUCUACCCUAAAGUGAGGGAUAACCGCCCGAAAGGGUGGCUAAUACCGCAUAUGAUCUUCGGAUUAAAGGAUUUAUCCGCUUUAGGAAGAGCCCGCGUUAGAUUAGGUAGUUGGUAGGGUAAUGGCCUACCAAGCCAACGAUCUAUAGCUGGUCUGAGAGGAUGAUCAGCCAGACUGGAACUGAGACACGGUCCAGACUCCUACGGGAGGCAGCAGUGAGGAAUCUUCCACAAUGGGCGAAAGCCUGAUGGAGCAACGCCGCGUGAAGGAUGAAGGCCUUCGGGUUGUAAACUUCUUUUAUGAGUGAAGAAUAUGACGGUAACUCAUGAAUAAGCACCGGCUAACUACGUGCCAGCAGCCGCGGUCAUACGUAGGGUGCAAGCAUUAUCCGGAGUGACUGGGCGUAAAGAGUUGCGUAGGCGGUUUAAUAAGUGAAUAGUGAAACCUGGUGGCUCAACCAUACAGACUAUUAUUCAAACUGUUAAACUCGAGAGUAGUAGAGGUAACUGGAAUUUCUAGUGUAGGAGUGAAAUCCGUAGAUAUUAGAAGGAACACCAAUGGCGUAGGCAGGUUACUGGACUAUUUCUGACGCUAAGGCACGAAAGCGUGGGGAGCGAACUGGAUUAGAUACCCAGGUAGUCCACGCCGUAAACGAUGGAUACUAGCUGUUGGAGGUAUCGACCCCUUCAGUAGCGAAGCUAACGCGUUAAGUAUCCCGCCUGUGGAGUACGGCCCGCAAGGCUAAAACAUAAGGGAAUUGACGGGGACCCGCACAAGCGGUGGAUCAUGUUCUUUAAUUCGAUGAUAAACGAAGAACCUUACCAGGGUUUGACAUCCCGAGAAGAUUUACGAAAGUAGAUUGUGCCUUUUGGAACUCGGUGACAGAUGAUGCAUGGCCGUCGUCAGCUCGUGUCGCGAGAUGUUUGGUUAAGUCCAUCAACGAGCGCAACCCUUGUGAAUAGUUGAAUUUUUCUAUUCAGACUGCCCCGGCAACGGGGAGGAAGGAGGGGAUGAUGUCAGGUCAGUAUUUCUCUUACAUCCUGGGCUAGAAACGUGAUACAAUGGCAAGUACAAUGCGCAGCGAAGCCGCGAGGUGAAGCAAAUCGCACCAAAGCUUGUCCCAGUUCGGAUUGGAGGCUGAAACUCGCCUCCAUGAAGUCGGAAUCGCUAGUAAUCGCAGGUCAGCAAACUGCGGUGAAUACGUUCCCGGGUCUUGCACACACCGCCCGUC
rnacentral:rRNA from 1 species